rnacentral:lncRNA from 1 species
AUGGAUGGAGCUGAGGCGCUGAGCCUCCAUCGCCCUCCCUUGGCCACGGCACCGUGGGGACGAGCCCAGGUCAGCGGGGCUCCCGGCCACUCUUCGUGCCUCAGUUUCCCACCAACACCGGGCACGGUUUGGGGAGCACCCGCAGCCGCUAGGGGGGGCUCGGUGGUGCCAGGGUGGCCCCACCACUGCCGAGGGGCUGGCAGCACUGAGCCCCCCCCUCCUCGCAGUUGUUCCCGGUCCCCCCUACUGCCACUGGAGCUGCGGCCCCCAUCGUCUGCACCUGCCCCGGGUGCAGCAACUGCCGCAGGCGCCUGCUGUGCGCGGGGCCCCCACAGCUGUCCCCAAGGCUCAGCGUGGGGCUGCCUCCCCCCCCCCCGCCACGGCUGUCCCGGCUCUGGCCGGGGGACGGAGCAGCUGGCGGCGGGGGCUGCGUCCGCCGGCAUCCGGGGGACGUGCGAGACGCGGUCCCUGGAGAUGCCGCCGGCUGCUCCUAGCGGAGCCCGAAGCACAAAGUCAUCGAGGGCGAAGGGCUCUGGCGCCCGGGGGGGCUUGUGGGGAUGGGAAUCAGGGCGGGUGGGGGGUGCCGGGCUGCCUGCAGCGCCUCGGGGAAGGCAGCUGCUGCGGGGCCGCGGCGCGCGGGGCCGAGCCGAGCCGGUGCGGGCACGCGCGCGCGCGAGCGGGAGGCAGCUCAUGCGCACACGGCUGCCGCCCGUGUCCUCAGAUGAGCCCGUGCCCGCAGGGAGCCGCAGAGCUAAAUGCAGCGCAGGCUGCGGCGCCUGCGUCACGGCCCGCGGGCCCGCCGUGGGCCCGCGCCACCCGGGGCCUCCCUCCCUCCUUCCCGGCUGGGGCGCCGAGCCCCCGCCGUACGCGCCGCGCGUACGCUGGGCUCAUCUACGGGCGCGCCAGCACGGAGCUCACGCGGGCACACGUGUGUGCACGCACGGGUGCGCAGCAGCAGCCACCCACGGAGGAACACGUGUGGCUACGCACGCGGGAGAACACGCGAACACGCUGCUGUUCCCUGCACGUGCCCCGGCACUGGUCACACGCGUGUGUGCCAUGCCAAUCCUGUGCCAAUCCCGUGCCCAUGUGAAUGUACGCGGGGGUACCGAUUCCUUACGCACCCCCCCACGCACCCCCACGCACAGUGGGAGCUGGGGGGGUCCCGAGGUGACAGGCGACAGCGCCCUGUGGCUCUGCACGGAUGGCAGCGGGCGCUCCCGGGGCCAGCCCCCCCCGUCCAUUAGCAACAUGGUGGCACCGGUGACCCCCAGGGACCGUGACCCGACCCGUAGGAGAGAUCGGGGUGUCACAGAGCGCCCCAGCUCAGCUCUGCCCACUUCCCAGGCCCCCCCCGCCCCCCGCAGCAGUCAAAUGAGCGAGACCGGGGGCCGGGUGGGUUUUUCAUUCACUUUUCCGCAUACUUUUUAUUUGUUACAAACAUACAAUUCUUUAAAUAUAGACUGUAAAACUCCAUUUUGCAAAAAUCUGCUACGGUAA